rnacentral:lncRNA from 1 species
GGCUAAAAAAUGCAUGAGAGAGAGGAGAGACGAGACGACGAGGCGACUGAUACAGAGAGCGCGUGUCAUAGACUGUGCACCACCCUUUUGAUCCUCUUGACUCUUCAUAACUGCCCCUGCAAGCUAAGCCACACCUGAUCAAGACUCUGGCUUUCUUCUACCCUUUUGCUCUCUAAUCUAAUCUCUCUUCCUGAUCACAGCCAUGGCAGCUCCAUCUUCACUCUUCACUUUGUCAAGGUAUGUAUAACAAUGUCUUUUGGCUCUCUUCCUCUGUUCUUCUUUUUGUUUUUGUUAAUUUUUUUUUUUUUUUCAAAAUUUAUUUGUUUGUGUGUGCAUGUAUGUGUGACUGUUGAGUGCCAUUUUUGUUGAUGCUUAUUGCAUACCAUGAUACCAUGUACGGCAUUCUACAUAACAAAAUUAUUUUUGGUUCCAGUUCUUAGUGUUUUGGUUCUCCGUGAGAGAGAGAAAAUAAAUAACAAAGAAGGCCCAAAAGAUGGUUCUUUUUUUCCUUAUGAGCCAGAAAAAGAUCGGUUUUUUUUCUUUCUUUCCUCUUCUUGUGGUGGCUAAGUGGUGGGCAAAAGGAAUAAUUUUUCUGUUUGAAUCCCUUUUUUUUGUUAGUCUAAUUAUUUGCUUUGUGAUCACAAACUCAUAUCAGUUACAUGCAUUGUGUUUAUGAUGUAUACAUACUGAUUGUAUGAUUUAGUAGUGUUUGAGGUGAAUUUGCAGGCCUAGCUUGCUGAAACACUAGAUGUACACAUUGGACAUAAAGAUCUUGAGGUGAAAUCGGGG